GCGCUUUCCCGGCGUGGGAGGGGAGGUGGUUGAGAUGGGGGACCGGGGAUUCUAGCGAGCCCCCUCCCCGAAAGUACCGCGGCGACAGGCACACGCCGAGGAAGUCUUUGUGUACGUGUAUGUGUGCGUGCGUGUGGAGCGCGGUGCCAGGCGGAAUGGAAACUACAGGCAGCCUCUGCUAAUGGGCACAAACUCCCGUGUUCUUUCUUACCACGGGCUCCAUGCACAAGAAUGAGACGUCGUCACCCAUACACACACUCACUCAACGCCCGCACGAAAACACGCCAAGGCAUCCACAACUCAGAGCACCCCGCACCCCUCGGCGAACAGCCCCCCAGGACCGGCAAGGCCAGCCCAACAGAGCCCGACGCUGCACACUUUCAAGAGCCAAAGUGGUCGCAAACUCUCUCUAGCCUCCUCCCCACCCACCCACCCCCCCAGCGAAAGCCACGAAACGCAGAAAGGCAGGGCUACUGGCGGACCGCCGCCGAGCCCCGGUCGCGCACACCGGCCGCUGGGGCAAAGUUGCGAGCAGCCCCGCCGCUGUCAGCCCGCACACUCGGGCUUCACGCGCGCGCCGCGAAGAACGCACCAUCGUGGCGGCCGCGGCGCUCGGCGGAGGUGCGGCCGCAGAAGCUGCUCGCCGCGUCCCCGGACCGUGCCCGCAGCUCCCGGCGGCGGCGGCGGCUGAAAUAUGGCUGAGUUAUUAUUCGCCUCCUUCCACCGGGUGGGACCAUGAAAGCACACCUUGGCCCUUGCAUUGAAGACUUGAGAAUAACGGGAAGGAGGUUGCCUGGGGCGUCCCAGGUUCUCCACAACCACGAAUUCAGCACAGAGAUGGGGAAACUUGACCAGAAGUCCAAGGAUUUAUUUCUCAACCAAGUCUAUACUGGAGAUUUAAAAUAUGCCAGUAGAUGGCGCACAGAGCCCUUCCACCAUCGUCCUUACGUGACCCUCCUUACAACAAAAAGACUUCUCUACCAGGAAAAAGAAAAAGAAAACACAACCCGGAAUUCUCCAGGUUCAACUUUGAACAAAGGAAUUUCCACCUUUGUUCCAUUUCCAUUUGUAGCUGUUUUAAUAAGUUCGCUGUUAACAACAAUAAAACUGUGAGAGCAAA